GAGCCACUGACACGCCGGCAGCACAAUGAUGAUGUCUCUGACUCUACUGCUGGCCACCCUGGGGCUCCUUGUUCAGGGUUCAUCAGGACAAAACAUCCUGACUCAGUCUCCUGGAUCUCAGUCUGUUGUUCCAGGACAGACUGUCUCUAUCAGAUGUAAAGCCACUUCAGGUACAAGCUACCUCCACUGGUACCUUCAGAAAUCUGGAGAAGCUCCUAAACUCCUGAUUUAUGAAGUUACAACCCGUCAGUCUGGAGUUCCAGAUCGUUUUAGUGGAAGUCGAUCAGGGACUGACUACACUCUGACCAUCAGUGGAGUUCAGGGUGAAGAUUCAGGAGUUUACUACUGUCAGCAGAGUGGCAGCUUCCCGUUCACACAGUGAAAAAGCGUCGUACAAAAACCUCCCUCAGCUGCAGAGGAACUGAUCUGACUCAACAGCUGCACUGAAAGUCAAACAC